AGAGAGGGACAGAAGAAUUUCUAAAACAUUAAAUGUCCCAUGAAACACCAUGAGGUCCAUCACUGAUGAUGGAGAAACUGGAGCACCACAGUGACGUCACCAAGAACAGGACGUCCCUCCAGAAGUGACACAAGAACAAGAAGAAAACUUCUCUUGGAGGCUGCUGAGGGACCGACAGCAACAUUAAAGGGAUUGGUGAUGAACAUACAGGCUACAUCAAACAUGGCGGUUUCAAGAUGGCGGAGUGGCGAAAUGCAAUCACUAAUAUUCGAUUGGAUUCUCAGGAACUUCCUUAAAAAAUCCAUUAAAACAUCUUUAAACAUGAUCAGAACCAAAGUCGUGGAUGUUGUCUCCUCACAAUAAAUGUUUUGGGGACCUUGGGGUCGAUGUCAUCUGUCAGUCAGCGGUGUCCUUUCACUCCCGUUGGUACUCACUUCAAUUGUGUCGCCUUGAAGUUGAGAGCAGUUUAACUCCGUACCUGCCCACUUCACAUAAUCAGCAGGUAUUUCAUACAUUAUCUCUAUGUCGUUGACUUUCAUCGACUUUACGUGGUCACUUAUUGCCACCUUGCCACGAAUCGUUGCGUGUGUAUGACCUUUAACCCAAAAACACUGAGUGCUGAAUUACAAGAAAAAGCUGCUUUAAAAAGGUAUUAGUUAAAGGGUGUGUAUACUUAUGCAACCAGGUUAUUGUGAUUUUUUCAUUUUCUUUUAUCCCUUAAAAUGUUUGUGAUUGUUUCUCUCUUGAAUGUUAUUGGUUAUUGUAUCACAUUAAAGGUGGAAAAAAGGUCAAACAUGAUUACCUCGCCUGGGGCGGAGUCCACCAGGGGGUGAGGUAUUGUUUUCGGUCGGGUUUCUUUGUUGCUUUGUUUUUUGUUAAUGAUACCAUGGGAAAAUGGCUGGAUCAAUCUUCAUGUAACUUUCAGGAUAGAUGGGCAUUAGUCUCAAAUAGAACCUCCAACAUUUUGAGGAUAAUCCGGUCAAGGUCACCAAAAAGGUCAAGAUCGUUUUUGUUGUGUCUACUGCCUCAUAUAGAGGCGCUAGCCACUCCGUCAUCAUGCUGUAAGAAUGUAAGAGUGUAACAGUCGAUCACUGUGCAUGCACAUACACCUGUUCCUAUUAAAAUGGCCGGUGAGUGUAUACAGUUCGGGUCACCAUUCGAAAUAAAUGGACUAGACUAAAGAAAUGGCUUUCAGACAUGUUUAUGCUUAUUCCAGAGGGAAAGUGCGUUCCACUGAGCUCUAGCACCGGGCCAUUUCCGGGAAAUAAGAGUUUGGGUCGUGGCAACAGCGUGUGUGUGUGUCAGUCUCGGUUCCGAGGUUUCAGUUUCGAAAACUGUAAGAGAGAAGAGUAGAAUAAUAUAAAGUACAGACACUUGGUAUAUUUUACUUCUGUGAUUUUUAAAUUUUUUAUUUUUGGGUUACGCUUUAUUUUUGUGGCUACUGCCUCAUAGAGUAAAUAUAUAUGCUGUAUUUACUGUAUGGACAUGGGAUCAGAAAACUAUUUUAUUUAUCAACAGGAGCCACAUGGACCCAUAGGGGACCGAUUUUUUUCAUGAUAUCUUCCUUCAUCAUUAGUGCUACCGGGUGAGGUUUGUUUUGCCUGGAAACACUUGUUUAUCUUGGUUUCAUUUUUUACAUCACAGAAUCCUGCAGUUUUAAUGGGGGGGGUAAACUUUUAGAUAUGCUGUAGAUUCAUAUCUACACUUAAAGUACAGAUGUUAGGAAAUAACUUACUUUUGGUGUAAACCUGAUUUCGCAGUAUUUUUGGUUGUUUUGCAGAAUUCAGCCAAAACGACGGGUUCACAGCCAUAGUGACAGAUUCAUGACCAUAAUGAUGGGUUCACAGCCAUAACAAUGAGUUCACGGCCAUAACAACAGUUUCGCAAUUAUAAUCAAGUUUCAAGUUUAUUUGUAUCGUGCUUUUAACAAUAGACAUUGUCGCAAAGCAGCUUUACAGAAUUCGAAUAACUUUAAACAUGAGCUAAUUUUAUCCCUAAUCUAUCCCCAAUGAUGAAGCCUGUGGCAAUGGUGGCAAGGAAAAACUCCCUCAGAUGACACGAGGAAGAAACCUCGAGAGGAACCAGACUCAAAAGGGAACCCAUCCUCAUUUGGGUGAUAACAGACAACAUGAUUAUAACAUUAAUAGUUUUAACAUGAAGUCAGUUUCGUUGAUGUUAUAACUCAUAAUAUAUAAUGAUGGGUUCGCAGCCGUUCCUCCUCUACAACAGCCAAAGGAUCCGCCCUUUUCUUACAACCUACUCUACUCAGCUCCUGGUCCAAGCACUGAUCAUCUCUCGUGGACUACUGCAGCUCUCUCCUUGCUGGCCUUCCAGCUUCUGCCUCAGACCCCAACAGCUCAUCCAGAAUGCUGCAGCUCGCCUGGUCUACAACCUCCCUCGUUCUUCCUAUGUCACCCCUCUGCUUGCCAACCUGUACUGGUUACCUGUCGCAGCUCACAUCAAACUUAAGACAUUGGUGCCAAUUUCCUAGGCUCUCAAGGGAUUAGGGCCAGCAUACCUCCAGAGUCUGAUCCGUCCCUACACACCAGCCAGAUCCCUAUGCUCUGCUACUACUGGUCGCCUGGCCCCUCCUCCUCUCCGCUCCUGCCCAGCCCACUCAAGACUGCUGUCUGUCCUGGUUCCCCGUUGGUGGAAUGACCUUCCCAUUGAGGUCAGAACUGCCGACUCCCUAACCACCUUCAAGCGCAGACUGAAAACCCACCUCUUCAGGCUGCACCUCUCCCCUUCCUCCCUGCCCACUGUGUAACUGCGUUUCGGUCUUGGCCAACCCAGGCUGUGUACUGCCUCGCCCAGGCUUAGCUGUUUUGAGUUCUUUAGUUGUACUUUAUAUAUGGUUGGUUUGUUUCCUUGGCUGUUUGACUGUUGGUAUUUCAACAGAAUAUUACACUAGGUAUCGUUGUCACUUGUUCAGUUGGCACUAAAACUUUUAUGUCUAGAAGUUCAGCACUUUGUGUACCUGACUUUUACACUCGUUGUACGUCACUCUGGAUAAGAGCGUCUGCUAAAUGCCAUAUAAUGUAAUGUAAUGUAACGAUGGGUUCCCCACCAUAACGAUGGGUUCACAGCCGUAGCGAUGGGUUUUCCCAUGAUGAUGCACACAGAUACACUGCAGUAGUGCAGUCUGACUUUAACAGAACCUAUAACCCCAAAUGUACAUCACACACACACACGCACGGGAUGUGCUUUAAUGGAUUAUGUAAACCAGAGUUUGUUGUCAUAAGCCAUGCAAAGAGCCACCUUUCUUCUUUACGCUGGAAAGGGAGCAGAGAGCACGCAAAUGCCCUCUGUACAAAACAUCUGCCCCACUACACACACACACACCUUUACUGUACUAUAAUAAUCCAACACCCUCCUCAGAUCCCUUCCUACUGUACCGCUGUGAUAUAAGAGCAAAUCUUUAUAUUCUGAAUAAAAAGUGUGUGUAACAUUGCCUGGAAACAAAUACAGAGUUAAAAAGUGAUCGAGUUUUACAGAGAUUAACAAAGAAACAAAAAAAUUAGGGAGUAAAACUGAAGUUAAAACAGCAGCAACAAC